GGGCCAUAGCUCAGUGGUAGAAUAUUUACUUUGCAUGCAGAAGGUUCCAGGUACAAUCCCCGGAAUCUCCA